CCUACGGGUGGCUGCAGUGAGGAAUAUUGGUCAAUGGCCGGAAGGCUGAACCAGCCAAGCCGCGUGAAGGACGAAGGUGCCAAGCAUUGUAAACUUCUUUUGUCAAGGGACAAAAUCAGGCUCGAGAGCCUGACCGAGGGUACUUGAAGAAAGAGCAUCGGCUAACUACGUGCCAGCAGCCGCGGUAAUACGUAGGGGGCAAGCGUUAUCCGGAAUUAUUGGGUGUAAAGGGAGCGUAGACGGUAAUGCAAGUCUGGUGUGAAAGGCGGGGGCCCAACCUCCGGACUGCUCUGGAAACUGUGUAACUGGAGUGCAGGAGAGGCAGGCGGAAUUCCUAGUGUAGCGGUGAAAUGCGUAGAUAUUAGGAGGAACACCAGUGGCGAAGGCGGCCUGCUGGACUGUAACUGACGUUGAGGCUCGAAAGCGUGGGGAGCAAACAGGAUUAGAUACCCGGGUAGUC
rnacentral:rRNA from 1 species